rnacentral:rRNA from 1 species
AUACGGAGGGUGCAAGCGUUAAUCGGAAUUACUGGGCGUAAAGCGUACGUAGGCGGUUCGUUAAGUUAGAUGUGAAAGCCCCGGGCUUAACCUGGGAACUGCAUUUAAAACUGGCGGACUAGAGUUGAGUAGGGGGGAGUGGAAUUUCAGGUGUAGCGGUGAAAUGCGUAGAGAUCUGAAGGAACACCAGUGGCGAAGGCGACUCCCUGGACUCGAACUGACGCUGAGGUACGAAAGCGUGGGUAGCAAACGGGAUUAGAUACCCUAGUAGUCC